GCUUCACCGUGAUCCGAGCCUCCUUUUCUCUUGCGUUUUAGCAGUUUUUCCACGGAUUUAAAAAAAUAAAACACCGAGAACUUGGGAGUUUUGUACUCCUGACACCGUCUAUUUUUUUUUUAAAAAUACUUCCAGACUGCAUAACCCUGAAAAAAAUUAUCUUAUUGGAAGAUAUAUACUCUGUCUAUUCAACAAUAGUUGAAGCCGCCUUGGAAAUUGUAAAUCCUCAGUUUGAGAGAUUUUAGCUCAUUGUACUGCAGUGGGCAUUGUAAUGCAAUAGACAAAAUACUUCUGUAUACUGUAUGCUUCUGUACAUAUGUAAAUUCUAUUGAAAUCAUGUUCAGUUCAUCCUAUAAGUUAUGAAAUACUGUCCAAAGACAUGGCUUGAUUUAGGCUUAGUACACCUUGACAUCUGCAGUAUCUUUCUUGGCUGCUAAUGGGAACCUCUUUCGGAAGCACCAGCCACUGACCUACAAACAUUAAAAGAAAAAUUACCAGCAGCCUAGAGGAAUGUCAGAUAAUGUUCUGUCCUUAAAAAUAGAAAAAGUGGAAUUAGGAUAUGUCAUUUCAAACUUGGUAAGAGCAAAACAAGACCUAUGCAUGGCUGAAGUUAGAAACAAGAGGAAAACAAGUUGACAAGGAAAAAGGUGGAUCUUCAUAAAAGCCAGGACAGCUAUCUUGGUUGAGAAAAAUAACAAAGGAUUUUAUAUUAACCAUUUCACUGGAAGCCAAUGCUGGAAGGACCAACAAUUUCAUAUUCAGAAAGAAAAUUAUCAAGACUGGUACAGGUAGUCCUCGACUUAACCACCACAAUGGGGAUAGAAUUCCCUUUCUAACUGAGGAGGUUAAGAAGAAGCCCCUGAAGCAAUCUGAUUUCUGAGAGUGGCUGAAUUCAUAGAAUGAGAUGGAGUAAUGCUACAUCAGGAGCCUUACAGGGAAACUGAAAACACUGGUGCUGAGCACCCAGUUGCUAGGCUGAAUACAUAGAAAGGAUGGAAAGAGUUCAUUAACAAGACCUACCCAGACCUGCAAGCUUUAGCUGUCCAAACACAGAGAGCACUAAUCAGGGAAAUGAACCAUAGAAAAGAAAGUGCUACUGAAUUCAUCAGACCAAAAGCAGAGCCAGUGAAAGGAGCAGCAACCUUUCUACAGGACAAGCUACAUAUAGUUGUGUGGUGUAUGUGUUUCUGAAUAUAAAGGUGAUCAGCUUCUGCUCUCUGCUUGAAAUCACUCAAUUUCAAAUACACUUGCACAAUUUG